UACGAAGGGGGCUAGCGUUGUUCGGAAUCACUGGGCGUAAAGCGCGCGUAGGCGGACCUGCAAGUCGGGGGGUGAAAGCCCGAGGCUCAACCUCGGAACUGCCUUCGAUACUGCGGGUCUCGAGUCCGGGAGAGGUGAGUGGAAUUCCUAGUGUAGAGGUGAAAUUCGUAGAUAUUAGGAAGAACACCAGUGGCGAAGGCGGCUCACUGGCCCGGUACUGACGCUGAGGCG
rnacentral:rRNA from 1 species